AACGAACGCUGGCGGCAGGCCUAACACAAGCAAGUCGAACGCCGUAGCAAUACGGAGUGGCAGACGGGUGAGUAACGCGUGGGAACAUGCCCUUUGGUUCGGAAUAACUCAGGGAAACUUGAGCUAAUACCGGAUAAGCCCGAGAGGGGAAAGAUUUAUCGCCGAAGGAUUGGCCCGCGUCCGAUUAGCUAGUUGGUGAGGUAACGGCUCACCAAGGCGACGAUCGGUAGCUGGUCUGAGAGGAUGAUCAGCCACACUGGGACUGAGACACGGCCCAGACUCCUACGGGAGGCAGCAGUGGGGAAUAUUGGACAAUGGGCGCAAGCCUGUUCCAGCCAUGCCGCGUGAGUGAUGAAGGCCCUAGGGUUGUAAAGCUCUUUCGCCAGGGACGAUAAUGACGGUACCUGGAUAAGAAGCCCCGGCUAACUUCGUGCCAGCAGCCGCCGUAAUAC
rnacentral:rRNA from 1 species